AGCCCCGUCGUCUAGCGGCCAAGGAUAGUGGGCUUUGGACCCAUUGACAGCGGUUCGAAGAUCCGCUCGGGGCUA
rnacentral:tRNA from 1 species